UUAUGUCUAUGGCCCGGCACAUAAACAAAACUGACAGUUGAACGUGACGAGCCGCGGCCAUUUAAAAGUUUUCACUCAACGUCUUACGGAGAAGCACGACCUCUACCGACAACUGUUCUCAUCCCGACACCAACUAAACCGACAACUGACGAGGACCGGGUCUGUUUCAGCACGGACCAUUGGCCUUCAGUCAGAUCUGCCCCGCUGGGAAAGGCUGCUUCCUCAAAAAUAUAAGAGAGACCAUCAUCUUCCUUCCCAAGGAGGGUGUGCGAUUUUUGGCGCCUUGGAAAAAGGGUUAGGUUAAGGGUUAGGGUUAGGGUUAAAUGAGUGCAUCCCUUGCUUGCCUGGUCACGAGGCCCAAAAUGGAUUCUGGUAUGGUGAGUACAACCCGCUCUACAGCAAAAUGUGUCGCUCAUUUACUUUUUAAAAAUAUUUUUUUUCUGUGUGUAUAUUUUUGUGGAUCACCACCAAACUGAAGGCUUUCAAGUGUUACCUGACUGUAAAUCUCUCCGCCUGUCUCACUUAUCUGACUGUUAUCUCACUGUGAAAAAUGGACAGCAUCGAUUACAGUGAACAAUCACUCCCCUCAUCAGUGUUGGACUUCUGAAAAUAUGUUUUUGCACCAAGACCUUUUGUUUCAACUUCUGCAUUAUUUCAGUGAAACGUCAUUGAUCAGCCUGCUGUGAUGUUCAAAAGAAAUACGUCAUUUCAAAAUGCACCACUUUCAUGUUGCGUUGUUUCAUAUUGGCUCAGCCAGGUUAAGUAGGAAGCCAGAUCUAUGUACGGAUUUUGAAAUGUAUAUAUUUCGAUUUCUCAGCCUUCUGUGCUGUGCUAUCAUGAAACGUACCCUUGGUUGUUUAUAGCACGGUAACAUUGGAUUCAGUGUGGAUAUGUGAAAUAAUCAUUUUGAGUUUAUGUAUGUAGAAAAUAUGGAAUUUGCCCUAAAAGCUUGAAAAUGCUUGAAAAAAACAUGGUAAAGCUGUAGGAACCCUCAAUAAAUAAGUUAUUAAAGCAGUUUUAUAUGUA